CCCUUAGAUGUUCUGGGCCGCACGCGCGCUACACUGACGAAUGCAACGAGCUUAUAACCUUGGCCGAAAGGUCUGGGUAAUCUCCAAAUUUCGUCGUGAUGGGGAUAGAUUAUUGCAAUUAUUAAUCUUCAACGAGGAAUGCCUAGUAAGCGCAAGUCAUCAGCUUGCGUUGAUUACGUCCCUGCCCUUUGUACACACCGCCCGUCGCUCCUACCGAUUGAAUGGUCCGGUGAAGCGUUCGGACCGUGGCCUUUGGACGGUUCGCCGACUGUUGGCUGCGGGAAGUUCGUUAAACCUUAUCAUUUAGAGGAAGGAGAAGUCGUAACA
rnacentral:rRNA from 1 species